rnacentral:rRNA from 1 species
UACGGAGGGAGCUAGCGUUGUUCGGAAUUACUGGGCGUAAAGCGCGCGUAGGCGGCUUUGUAAGUUAGAGGUGAAAGCCCGGGGCUCAACCCCGGAAUUGCCUUUAAGACUGCAUCGCUUGAAUCCGGGAGAGGUGAGUGGAACUCCGAGUGUAGAGGUGAAAUUCGUAGAUAUUCGGAAGAACACCAGUGGCGAAGGCGGCUCACUGGACCGGCAUUGACGCUGAGGUGCGAAAGCGUGGGGAGCAAACAGG